rnacentral:rRNA from 1 species
UACGUAGGGACCAAGCGUUGUUCGGAUUUACUGGGCGUAAAGGGCGCGUAGGCGGCUUGACAAGUCACUUGUGAAAUCUCCGGGCUUAACUCGGAACGGCCAAGUGAAACUGUCAUGCUAGAGUGCAGAAGGGGCAAUCGGAAUUCUUGGUGUAGCGGUGAAAUGCGUAGAUAUCAGGAAGAACAUCGGUGGCGAAGGCGCUCUGCUGGACCAUAACUGACACUCAGGGACGAAAGCUAGGGGAGCGAAUGGG